UACAGAGGGUGCGAGCGUUAAUCGGAAUUACUGGGCGUAAAGCGUGCGUAGACGGUUAUUUAAGUCGGAUGUGAAAGCCCCGGGCUCAACCUGGGAAUUGCAUUCGAGACUGAAUAGCUAGGGUGCGGUAGAGGGAAGCGGAAUUUCCGGUGUAGCGGUGAAAUGCGUAGAUAUCGGAAGGAACAUCAGUGGCGAAAGCGGCUUCCUGGACCAGCACCGACGUUCAGGCGCGACAGCGUGGGGAGCAAACAGG
rnacentral:rRNA from 1 species